UCCCUGGUGGUCCAGUGGCUAAGUCUCUGUGCUCCUAAUGCAGAAGCCCAGGUUCGACCUCUGGUCAGGGAA
rfam:TPA: Bos taurus chromosome 5, whole genome shotgun sequence.